rnacentral:rRNA from 1 species
AUGAACGCUAGCUACAGGCUUAACACAUGCCAGUCGCGGGGAAACGGCAUUAAGUGCUUGCACUUUUUGGACGUCGACCGGCGCACGGGUGAGUAACGCGUAUCCAACCUUCCCAUGACUAAGGGAUAACCUGCCGAAAGGCAGACUAAUACCUUAUGGUCUUCACUGACGGCAUCAGAUGUGAAGUAAAGAUUUAUCGGUUAUGGAUGGGGAUGCGUCUGAUUAGCUUGUUGGCGGGGUAACGGCCCACCAAGGCAACGAUCAGUAGGGGUUCUGAGAGGAAGGUCCCCCACAUUGGAACUGAGACACGGUCCAAACUCCUACGGGAGGCAGCAGUGAGGAAUAUUGGUCAAUGGGCGAGAGCCUGAACCAGCCAAGUAGCGUGCAGGAUGACGGCCCUAUGGGUUGUAAACUGCUUUUGUAUGGGGAUAAAGUCAAUCACGUGUGAUUGUUUGCAGGUACCAUACGAAUAAGGACCGGCUAAUUCCGUG